GGAUAAUCUACCCUUAGGACCGGGAUAACCCUGGGAAACUGGGGAUAAUACUGGAUAGGCAAUUAUUCCUGUAAUGGUUUUUUGUUUAAAUGUUUUUUCGCCUAAGGAUGAGUCUGCGGCCGAUUAGGUAGUUGGUUAGGUAAUGGCUUACCAAGCCGUUGAUCGGUACGGGUUGUGAGAGCAAGAGCCCGGAGAUGGAACCUGAGACAAGGUUCCAGGCCCUACGGGGUGCAGCAGGCGCGAAACCUCCGCAAUGUGAGAAAUCGCGACGGGGGGAUCCCAAGUGCCAUUCUUAACGGGAUGGCUUUUCAUUAGUGUAAAGAGCUUUUGGAAUAAGAGCUGGGCAAGACCGGUGCCAGCCGCCGCGGUAACACCGGCAGCUCUAGUGGUAACAAUUUUUAUUGGGCCUAAAGCGUCCGUAGCCGGUUUAAUAAGUCUCUGGUGAAAUCCUGCAGCUUAACUGU
rnacentral:rRNA from 1 species